rnacentral:rRNA from 1 species
GCAGCCGCCACGGGAAUACGUAGGGUGCAAGCGUUAUCCGGAAUUAUUGGGCGUAAAGAGCUCGUAGGCGGUUUGUCGCGUCUGCUGUGAAAACUGGAGGCUCAACCUCCAGCCUGCAGUGGGUACGGGCAGACUAGAGUGCGGUAGGGGAGAUUGGAAUUCCUGGUGUAGCGGUGGAAUGCGCAGAUAUCAGGAGGAACACCGAUGGCGAAGGCAGAUCUCUGGGCCGUAACUGACGCUGAGGAGCGAAAGCAUGGGGAGCGAACAGGAUUAGAUACCCCAGUAGUCCCUGUCUCUUAUAC